rnacentral:rRNA from 1 species
UGGAGAGUUUGAUCCUGGCUCAGGACGAACGCUGGCGGCGUGCCUAAUACAUGCAAGUAGGACGCACAGUCUAUACCGUAGCUUGCUACACCAUAGGCUGUGAGUUGCGAACGGGUGAGUAACGCGUAGGUAACCUGCCUAUUAGAGGGGGAUAACUAUUGGAAACGAUAGCUAAUACCGCAUAACAGUAUGUAACACAUGUUAGAUGCUUGAAAGAUGCAAUUGCAUCGCUAGUAGAUGGACCUGCGUUGUAUUAGCUAGUAGGUAGGGUAAUGGCCUACCUAGGCAACGAUACAUAGCCGACCUGAGAGGGUGAUCGGCCACACUGGGACUGAGACACGGCCCAGACUCCUACGGGAGGCAGCAGUAGGGAAUCUUCGGCAAUGGGGGGAACCCUGACCGAGCAACGCCGCGUGAGUGAAGAAGGUUUUCGGAUCGUAAAGCUCUGUUGUUAAGGAAGAACGAGUGUGAGAAUGGAAAGUUCAUACUGUGACGGUACUUAACCAGAAAGGGACGGCUAACUACGUGCCAGCAGCCGCGGUA